UCGCAUGAACGAAGUCUGACGGAGCACGCCGCGUGAGUGAUGAAGGUUUUCGGAUCGUAAAGCUCUGUUGUUAGGGAAGAACAAGUACCGUUCGAAUAGGGCGGUACCUUGACGGUACCUAACCAGAAAGCCACGGCUAACUACGUGCCAGCAGCCGCGGUAAUACGUAGGUGGCAAGCGUUGUCCGGAAUUAUUGGGCGUAAAGGGCUCGCAGGCGGUUCCUUAAGUCUGAUGUGAAAGCCCCCGGCUCAACCGGGGAGGGUCAUUGGAAACUGGGGAACUUGAGUGCAGAAAAGGAGAGUGGAAUUCCACGUGUAGCGGUGAAAUGCGUAAAGAUGUGGAGGAACACCAGUGGCGAAGGCGACUCUCUGGUCUGUAACUGACGCUGAGGAGCGAAAGCGUGGGGAGCGAACAGGAUUAAAUACCCUGGUAGUCCACGCCGUAAACGAUGAGUGCUAAGUGUUAGGGGGUUUCCGCCCCUUAGUGCUGCAGCUAACGCAUUAAGCACUCCGCCUGGGGAGUACGGUCGCAAGACUGAAACUCAAAUGAAAUUGACGG
rnacentral:rRNA from 1 species